AUUGAACGCUAGCGGGAUGCCUUACACAUGCAAGUCGAACGGCAGCACGGACUUCGGUCUGGUGGCGAGUGGCGAACGGGUGAGUAAUGUAUCGGAACGUGCCCAGUAGCGGGGGAUAACUACGCGAAAGCGUAGCUAAUACCGCAUACGCCCUUAGGGGGAAAGCAGGGGAUCGCAAGACCUUGCACUAUUGGAGCGGCCGAUAUCGGAUUAGCUAGUUGGUGAGGUAAUGGCUCACCAAGGCCGCGAUCCGUAGCUGGUUUGAGAGGACGACCAGACACACGGGGACUGGGACCCGGCCCUGAAUCCUACGGGAGGCAUCAGUGGGGAAUUUUGUACAAUGGGGGAAACCCUGAUCCAGCCAUCCCGCGUGUGCGAUGAAGGCCUUCGGGUUGUAAAGCACUUUUGGCAGGAAAGAAACGGCGCGUGCUAAUACCAUGCGCAACUGACGGUACCUGCAGAAUAAGCACCGGCUAACUACGUGCCAGCCGCCGCGGUAA
rnacentral:rRNA from 1 species